rnacentral:rRNA from 1 species
CUACGGGUUGCUCCAGUGAGGAAUCUUGCGCAAUGGGGGAAACCCUGAUGCAGCAACGCCGCGUGGAGGAUGACGCAUUUCGGUGUGUAAACUCCUUUUAUAUGUCAAGAAAAUGACGGUAGCAUAUGAAUAAGCACCGGCUAACUCCGUGCCAGCAGCCGCGGUAAUACGGAGGGUGCAAGCGUUACUCGGAAUCACUGGGCGUAAAGGACGCGUAGGCGGGUUGGAAAGUCAGGUGUGAAAUCCUACAGCUUAACUGUAGAACUGCACUUGAAACUUCUAAUCUAGAGUAUGGGAGGGGGAGAUGGAAUUAGUGGUGUAGGGGUAAAAUCCGUAGAUAUCACUAGGAAUACCUAAAGCGAAGGCGAUCUCCUGGAACAUUACUGACGCUAAGGCGUGAAAGCGUGGGGAGCAAACAGGAUUAGAUACCCCGGUAGUC